rnacentral:rRNA from 1 species
AGUGAACGCUGGCGGUAGGCCUAACACAUGCAAGUCGAACGGCAGCACAGUAAGAGCUUGCUCUUACGGGUGGCGAGUGGCGGACGGGUGAGGAAUACAUCGGAAUCUACUUUUUCGUGGGGGAUAACGUAGGGAAACUUACGCUAAUACCGCAUACGACCUACGGGUGAAAGCAGGGGAUCUUCGGACCUUGCGCGAUUGAAUGAGCCGAUGUCGGAUUAGCUAGUUGGCGGGGUAAAGGCCCACCAAGGCGACGAUCCGUAGCUGGUCUGAGAGGAUGAUCAGCCACACUGGAACUGAGACACGGUCCAGACUCCUACAGGAGGCAGCAGUGGGGAAUAUUGGACAAUGGGCGCAGGCCUGAUCCAGCCAUACUGCGUGGGUGAAGAAGGCCUUCGGGUUGUAAAGCCCUUUUGUUGGGAAAGAAAAGCAGCAGGUUAAUACCCCGCUGUUCUGACGGUACCCAAAGAAUAAGCACCGGCUAACUUCGUG